rnacentral:rRNA from 1 species
GAUGAACGCUGGCGGCGUGCCUAAUACAUGCAAGUCGAGCGAACAGACGAGGAGCUUGCUCCUCUGACGUUAGCGGCGGACGGGUGAGUAACACGUGGAUAACCUACCUAUAAGACUGGGAUAACUUCGGGAAACCGGAGCUAAUACCGGAUAAUAUAUUGAACCGCAUGGUUCAAUAGUGAAAGACGGUUUUGCUGUCACUUAUAGAUGGAUCCGCGCCGCAUUAGCGAGUUGGUAAGGUAACGGCUUACCAAGGCAACGAUGCGUAACCGACCUGAGAGGGGGAUCGGGCACACCGGAAGUGAAAAACGGUCCACACUCCUACGGGUAGCAGCAGUAGGGAAUCUUCCGAAAAGGGCGAAAGCCUGACGGAGCAACGCCGCGUGAGUCAUGAAGGUCUACGGAUCGUAAAACUCUGUUAUGAGGGAAGAACAAAUGUGUAAGUAACUAUGAACAUCUUGACGGUACCUAAUCAGAAAGCCACGGCUAACUACGGG